AGAGCGAACGCUGGCGGCAGGCCUAACACAUGCAAGUCGAGCGCCCCGCAAGGGGAGCGGCAGACGGGAGAGUAACACGUGGGAACGUGCCCUUUGGUUCGGAACAACACAGGGAAACUUGUGCUAAUACCGGAUAAGUCCGUAAGGAGAAAGAUUUAUCGCCAAAGGAUCGGCCCGCGUCUGAUUAGCUAGUUGGUGAGGUAACGGCUCACCAAGGCGACGAUCAGUAGCUGGUCUGAGAGGAUGAUCAGCCUCACUGGGACUGAGACACGGCCCAGACUCCUACGGGAGGCAGCAGUGGGGAAUAUUGGACAAUGGGCGCAAGCCUGAUCCAGCCAUGCCGCAUGGAUGAUGAAGGCCCUAGGUUGUAAAGUCCUUUCGGACGGGAAGAUAAUGACGGUACCCGUAGAAGAAGCCCGCUAACUUCGUGCCAGCAGCCGC
rnacentral:rRNA from 1 species